rnacentral:misc_RNA from 1 species
UUUCCGUAGGUGAACCUGCGGAAGGAUCAUUCAUAAUAAAGUGUUUUAUGGCACUUUUUAAAAAUCCAUAUCCACCUUGUGUGCAAUGUUAGAUCUCGUCAAUCUUGGCGAGAUUUUUAUACAUCAACUCAUUUUUUAACUAAUUUGUCUGAAAAAUAUUAUGAAUACUUAAUUCAAAAUACAACUUUCAACAACGGAUCUCUUGGCUCUCGCAUCAAUGAAGAACGCAGC